CAAAAAGGCACACAGGGAAAAUAAAGAGAGCGAGCAUACGACAGAGGAGGAAAAAAAUGGAGGAGAGAGGACAACAAGGAAAUCAUCCGGCCAGGGCGGCGUGCUUGACGAGUUGGGCGAGCACCUCGAUCGACGGAAAGUACCAAUAGUUGCCCGUGGUGGGCACGGAAAAGCGCAUAAUGGCGUCGGGCACGCCGUGCGGUGCGCCCGCGAUGCCGGGACCGCUGCCCACCAUCGAUCGGCACAUGGCGUCGAUGUGAUGGGCGUCGCCCGCAUAGGCAAUAAACAAGAGGCCUGCCUCGCCGGCCGGGUCGCCCCACGGCAUAGCCUGCCGCACGAUAAAGUAGCCCAGGGCGCUCUGGCGCACGCGCGCCACAUGCGACGACGGCGCUUGGUGGGCCAACGGCGCCGACUGGGCCUUGGUGCGGCCAAACACGGCCUCUUGCAUCGACUGGUUGAGUCUGUGAAAGGCUGCAAGGUCGUGCCGCCACACCUGGGCGAUGGCAUAGGACCCGUUGGCGUGCGCCGGGUCCGACGCGACACUGAUCAGGCCCGCUGCCGCUCUCUGGACCGAUGGCGCAUUAACCGUGCCGUCGACAAAGCCAGUGAGGUCGCGGUUCUGUCCAUCCAAGGCGUUGGUCCACGCGUCGACAGUCGAGACGUCAGAGACGGCGUCCUUGCCCAACCGCUGGACGAGCAGAUCGAUCACUGCAUAGAGAACGUCGCGUCGUGCGGCCUUGGCGUGCACAAAGAGGUCGCCACCGGUGGCCGGCAUGCGCGGCCACCCGCCAACGCCCUCGUAGCCGGGAAAAUCCAGGAUGCCGACGGGCACCGACAAAAAGGUGCCCCAGUGCGACCAUAGUGCAGGCGACAGGCCGAUCCCGCCCACAAGGCCGCCGUCGCCUCCGCCGCCUUGGCUCGUCGUGGCCACAGCGGCGACGAGCGUCGGAAAGGAACCGACGACUGCGCGAACGCGAGCCGACAGGGUGCGGUCGCUCCAAGCCGCGGGCGUCAAGCGGAUCGUUGUCCCGACGGCAUUGCGGUCCAACCCACUGAGAACGCUCCCUUGCGGAUGUUUCUGGGGCGCGACAUUGGCGAGGAGGGCCGCCAAAAUUGCAGCGUGCAAGAGAGUGGCGGCAAGGCGACGCAACAUUACGGCUCUUGAGGGAUGCAAAGCGCGUGUCUCUGUGCAGGCGGACAAUGACCGACUUAGACGAGGCAGAGAGCGAUCGGUUCAGGUUUGGCGUUGUCUUUCCGCCCUUUGUCUUAAAGGCGCACCGAAAAUGCGCGCGGACGUCCGGCCAGAGAGAAAGAUGCCGCGCCUGGUCGACAGCAGGCAAAUUCGACCCGCCGAAACAUCGACGCUCAUGACGGCACCGCGUGCGCGAGACACAAACGGCCGCCGGGACGAGUCGACCCCCUCUCUCUCUCUGUACCCACAAUACCAGGCCGUCGCUGUCGGACGGUGCAAUUCUUUUGCACAGGGCAACGCACAAAAAAAAGAAGAAAUCAUGAUCGCGAUGCCAAGUAUGUUGUGGGGUUGCGAGAAACAAAAAACAAAGAAUGCAUGGG
rnacentral:lncRNA from 1 species